GUGCUUGCCUUGGCAGUGCAUAUACUAUGAUUGGAACAAUACAGAGAAGAUUAGCACGACCCCGAGCAAGGAUGACACUCAAAUUAGUGAAGUGUUCCAUAUUAAA
ensembl:snRNA U6 U6 spliceosomal RNA